rnacentral:rRNA from 1 species
UGGUGCUUUCCACUCCCAUGGUGUGACGGGCGGUGUGUACAAGGCCCGGCAACGUAUUCACCGUGACAUUCUGAUUCACGAUUACUAGCGAUUCCGACUUCACGGAGUCUAGUUGCAGACUCCGAUCCGGACUGAGACCGGGCUUUAUGAAAUUUAGCUCCACCUUGGGGGUUGCCACCCUUGUACUAGCCAUCGGACACAGGUUGCAGGAGUGGGGA